rnacentral:rRNA from 1 species
AUGUUUAGGCAUGCGAUGGGUGCUGUCGCAUUCGUCAGCGAGGAGAAAAUCGCCGCCAAAGUGGAGCACCUGAAGAAAACGUUCAGGUGGGAGGAUGCUGAGGUGGGCAUUGCUAUUUCUAAGGCUCCAAAUAUGCUGAAUAAGACUAAGGAAUUUCUGCAGAGAAGCCUGGAGGGCCGGCUAAGGCCCCGGAGCUACGUUGUGAAGUUUCUCAAGGCAAAUGGAUUGCUAGAUCCCGACAGGGACUUGUACUCCGCAGUCGCACUGAAUGAGAAGGUAUUCAUGAAGAAGUUCAUAUGUCCUUACAAGGAAGCUGCAUUGCACCUUGCUCAAGACUAUGCAGCAGCUUGCAGAGGGGAAGUGCCGGCUAGAUUCAGAUUUACAUGA